rnacentral:lncRNA from 1 species
AAUGAGAGACUUAGAGCUAUUCUGGGAGAAUGGAGCAGCCGAGCAGCUAAGGUAGUACUUCAUCGUUUGUGGUACAUUGCUAUAAUAUUGUUGUUUCCUUUUCCUCUUCGCUAAAGUAAUACACCAUAUGUUUUUCUUGGCUGGAUAAAAGCUUGAACGUGCUCUGGAGAUGGAAAAGAUGUCAAACUUGGAACUGCAGAAAAAACUAACCACACUGAAAACUCAAACGCGUGAAUAGUGCUCGCAAGUGGUUACUUUUCUAACAGUUUUAGGAUCUUUUGCAACACUAUGAAGAGAAGGGUAUCUACAGAAGAUGACUAUGAUACCGUUCUUGGAUGACCUCAUGGUCCUAUCUACUGCACAUGUACAAACUAAGCCAUCUUAGCCAAUGCUCUCAACAAUAGUUUGCUUUUGCUGUACAUUACUGCUAUAGCCAAAACUUUGAAGGCUGCUUUUGCAAUGUCAAUGUGGCCAACAUGGGGUGACAUUGGAAGGAGGAAAUGAUCUCCUAUGCCUGUUUACAAUUUGAACAGAGGAAAGUGACUCGACCAAGUUCUCGUGUUUUAUGUACGGAUCUUCUAUAUUAUUUUUUACUUAUAUCCUAUGCAAAAGGUCAUAUCAAUUAAAAUAGCAUUUGUAAGAAUUCGACUGAUGUGGAUAGUGUGAAGGCAUGGCAG